rnacentral:rRNA from 1 species
CAGCCGCCGCGGUAAUACGUAGGGUGCAAGCGUUAAUCGGAAUUACUGGGCGUAAAGCGUGCGCAGGCGGUUAUAUAAGACAGAUGUGAAAUCCCCGGGCUCAACCUGGGAACUGCAUUUGUGACUGUAUAGCUAGAGUACGGCAGAGGGGGAUGGAAUUCCGCGUGUAGCAGUGAAAUGCGUAGAUAUGUGGAGGAACACCGAUGGCGAAGGCAAUCCCCUGGGCCUGUACUGACGCUCAUGCACGAAAGCGUGGGGAGCAAACAGGAUUAGAUACCCCAGUAGUCCCUGUCUCUUAUAA